UACGGAGGGAGCUAGCGUUGUUCGGAAUUAUUGGGCGUAAAGAGCUCGUAGGCGGUCUGUCGCGUCUGCUGUGAAAACCCGAGGCUCAACCUCGGGCCUGCAGUGGGUACGGGCAGACUAGAGUGCGGUAGGGGAGAAUGGAAUUCCUGGUGUAGCGGUGGAAUGCGCAGAUAUCGGGAGGAACACCGAUGGCGAAGGCAGCUCGCUGGGACGGUACUGACGCUGAGGCGCGAAAGCGUGGGGAGCAAACAGG
rnacentral:rRNA from 1 species